rnacentral:rRNA from 1 species
UACGUAGGUGGCAAGCGUUGUCCGGAAUUAUUGGGCGUAAAGUGCGCGCAGGCGGCCUUUUAAGUCUGAUGUGAAAGCCCACGGCUCAACCGUGGAAGGUCAUUGGAAACUGAAAGGCUUGAGUACAGAAGAGGAAAGCGGAAUUCCACGUGUAGCGGUGAAAUGCGUAGAGAUGUGGAGGAACACCAGUGGCGAAGGCGGCUUUCUGGUCUGUAACUGACGCUGAGGCGCGAAAGCGUGGGGAGCAAACAGG